AUUAGUCGUUAUCAUCCUGCAGCUCACAACUGGCAGCCCACUGCAGCUAAGCAGGUGUGAGCCUGGUCAGUACCUGGAUGGGAGACCUCCUGGGAAAAACUGAGGUUGCUGGUG
rnacentral:rRNA from 1 species